rnacentral:lncRNA from 1 species
CCUGGCAGAAGAAGUUUCAUCAGAGAUGCCAUUCCAAGAAAACCAUGGAAGCAGAAAAGAGGAAAGCAGAAACACAGAUGAAGCAAGAGGCUAUGUCCUCUGUGCAUGGAGACAGCAGAUCUAUUAGUAGACAGGAUGAAGAGAAAAGGUGUGAAGAAAAGCCACAUGGCUGAUGUGACAAGGAAGAAAGUGGGUCUCUCAGCUCUUCCCUUCUUGUUUUUGCCCUUUUCCCAGUACCAAGAAAUGUAUUUUUGGGGGCCACAUUCUUCCCACCAUAAUUUAGAAGGAUGCUGUUGCCAGGUUUGAAGACCACUUGAAACAAUAAUUGUUGUUAUUCUGCUAUACUCACCAAGAAUGACAAAACUAUUUACAUACUGGGGAUAGCGUGCUAGAAAAAUUGCUAAACAAAUAGUAUUUUUUCCUUCCAUAAAAUCAGAGUUGUAAAGAGCAAUAUAUUAGGCAUUUUCUUUGCCAGAGAACUUUAGCUAUGAUUUUCUGCUUCUUUAAAAUUCAUAUUAAUGAUCGUAGAUACCAGGUAUCUAAGGGAAAGACUCUUUGCAACAUCUUCUAUAUAUACCCUGGGUGUUUCUGUAUUGAAUUUACUUAAGAUUUAGGCUCUACAGUUUGAUCUCAAUCAUGUAAAAAUAUAUAGCAAGAAGGCUCCUGGGACAAAAACUGAAAUGUUUAUUAUUAAUUUUCUCUGGGCAUUGAAAUUCUGGAUGAUUUUAUUUUUUCAUACUUCUUUCUAUUUUCCAUAUAUUUUACAAUCUGUAUUCAUAGCUUCAAAAAUAAAAUAGUUGCUG